AUGCUCCUUGAGGUCUUCAAGCGGCUGCCGCCCCCCACGGAUGCCAUCCGCUGCGCCGCGGUGUGCCGGCGCUGGCGCCGCACAAUCUCCUCUGGCGCACGCGCGGGCUGCCUCCCGACCCCGCCCCGCCACUUCGGCUUCUUCCGCAACUACCACCAGUCCCCGCUGCCCCCGUUCGUCGCCACCGAGUCCGGCGUCGGCGUCCGCCUCGACGUCGGCGGCCUCCUCCCCCGUGUGGUGUCCAAGCGCGGCGUAGACAUCGUCGACGGCCGCGGCGGCCUGCUCGUCCUGCGCGAGCGCAGCAAAAAGUUCUGGGAGCUCAAUCUCGUCCUCUGCAGCCCGCUGCAGAGAUCAUACCGGCGGUUGCCGCCGGUGAAUAUCAGUGGGUACGACAUGGCCUGCGCCCCUUUCUUUCCUCUCCAGGGCGUCGGUUCCCGCGUUGCUGUUGUGCUCUUCGGCGGCGCUGAGAACUUGUGGCGCCGCUACGCUGUUCUGGUCUACGACUCCGCUAGCGCUUCCCCGGCCUGGAAGGUGACCACCGGCUCCCGGCAACAUGGGGAACGGCACUACAAUGCCCACGAAGGUCCGUCCGUCGUUGUAGGCGACGUCGUGUACAGCCUUCAAGACGAGCACAUCAUGGUGGUGGACACUACCAAGAUGACAAUGUCCGUGUUGCGGGAGCCGGUGGCCCGUCCGGACUGGCUGAUUGAGAGCAACCACUGGAUCGGCAAGACGGAGGACGCCCGUCUGUGCUUCUUCGUGUUCCACGACUACAAGCCGCUUCUUGUGGAGAGGUGGGCUCUUGGAGCGGAUGGCAAGUGGACUCUGCAGCAGCCGUUGCGGCUGCCCCCGGACCUCCACGGCGUGAAGCUCACGACGGGAUUUAAUGAAAUGUCCUCCUCCUUCAAGCGUGUGAGGUUCGCUGGGUUCUGCGAGGGCAGCAGGAUGCUCUUCUUCGUCAUGGAUGAUUGGGUGGUUUCUUUCGACAUCGAGACGUUGGAGAUGGAAAGGCUGUGGUGCUGCGAGACCGACGAGCCGCGCCGGCUUGGAGGGCUUAGCAAGGUGUAUCCGUACGAGAUGGUGCCGUGGCCUCCGGUGCUCAAAGAUUUCGCCCAUUGA
rnacentral:rRNA from 1 species